rnacentral:lncRNA from 1 species
UAAUAUAUCAACAAUUUAAUGCUGCAUGCAAACCGUUCACCAACAAUAAAGAACUCAUUUACAUGGGGGGUUCUUAUCUGUCCUUUUAUGCUUUUUAUUUUUGUUCUUUUUCAACAACUAGGAAUGAUCCUGUUGUGGUAUUAUCCUCAUGCAUUGCUUUCCCCCGACGUAAAAUAUGUGGGGAUUUUCUUUCUUUCUUUCUUUAUUUGUGAUGUAAUUUUGUGGUUGGUUGUGGGAGUGAUGAUGUUGAUGGGUCUUGUACAAUAUUCCAUCCAAGUGGUGCACUUAAGGUAUUUUUUAUGGCCCUUUUUAAGCACAAUCAAUGAAUAAAUAAAUAAAAAAGCGCGAGGCCCUACAAUACUAAGCUGACAUGAAAGAAACGAAAGCGUGAUGGAAGGAAGAGAUAACAAGGCAGAUGAAGGGUUUGAGUAUGAGAGGGUCCACGUGUGAUUUUUAUGUCCCUACAAUGUGAUUUUUCAUCAUGCUUAGUCUCAAACCCUACAUGUUAACUACGGAAGAGAUAAAAAUCCAAAGGUCUAUCAUGUUUUUACCUCCACGUAAAUUAAAAAUUGGACUAUGUCCGUGAGGGCAUCUUUUUGGCUUUUCCUAGCCACCAUAUCAUAUAUUAUGCCCUAGAGUAUGUAAAUAGAUAGAAAUUGGCCAUACAUGCUUCUCUAGAUGAUCGGCAAUGAUAGUGAGAACAAAAUGGUGUAAAAGAGUAGUAAAUGUGCGGGACAAAAAUCAUUGAUGGAAGAGCAAGAAUGAUUUAUUUAAUUAAGAGGAAACUAACCUUGCUCAUCAUCGAAGAAGAGAGAGAGAAAGUCAGGCAGAUAGUCCUACAUCUACGCUAAAAUCACUGAUAACACUAAUCAUUGGGCAUUUUUGUUGUAUGGCAGGUGAGUAAGGAUGAAUUGUUACCCCACCGCGCCUUAGAAUCUAACACAGCCUAGCUAAGACGAAAUUUUUAUGCCUAAAGUUUGCCGAAUCAACGCCACCCGAGUUGACUUAAAAACUACAUGUGAAAGAAGUUAUCAUGAUUGGGAUUAGGAAGUUCUAUUAGUAUAUAAAAAUCAAGAGGAUGUCUGGGCAUGGCUCACAUUCUAUCUUACCUAAAUAUAUAAAUGUUUUAUGAUGUGUUUGAGAUUAGGUGUGCUUUUAUUUAGGUGGAGGAUACAAACCUGGGAAUAGCUGUAACAUGGUUUUGAUUCAAAUAAGAUACUGUCAUAAUCUCAACUUGAUGACUUUAUGGCAUGAAGUGCAAGGAAAGAAACAAAAAUAUAAAUGCAUUCAUUCUACAUUAUUAUAUAAUUCAUUCAAUAGUCCAACA